UACGUAGGGUGCAAGCGUUGUCCGGAAUUAUUGGGCGUAAAGAGCUCGUAGGUGGCGGGUCACGUCGGGUGUGAAAGCCCGGGGCUUAACCCCGGGUCUGCAUUCGAUACGGGCCUGCUAGGGUCCGGCAGGGGAGACUGGAAUUCCUGGUGUAGCGGUGAAAUGCGCAGAUAUCAGGAGGAACACCGGUGGCGAAGGCGGUUCUCUGGGCGAC
rnacentral:rRNA from 1 species